rnacentral:rRNA from 1 species
GACGAACGCUGGCGGCGUGCUUAACACAUGCAAGUCGAACGGAAAGGCCCUGCUUUCAGGGUACUCGAGUGGCGAACGGGUGAGUAACACGUGGGUGAUCUGCCCUGCACUUCGGGAUAAGCCUGGUCAACUGGGUCUAAUACCGGACAGAAGCCAUUUUUAGUGUGAUGGUUGGAAAGUUUUUUCGGUGUAGGGUGAGCUCGCGGCCUAUCAGCUUGUUGGUGGGGUAAUGGCCUACCAAGGCGGCUACGGGUAGCCGGCCUGAGAGGGUGGACGGCCACAUUGGGACUGAGGUAAGGCCCAGACACCGACGGGAGGGAGCAGUGGGGAAUAUUGCACAAUGGGCGCCAGCCUGAUGCAGCGACGCCGCGUGGGGGAUGACGGUCUUAGGGUUGUAAAAUCCUUUCGCUAGGGACGAAGCUUUUUGUGACGGUACCUAGAUAAGAAGCACCGGCUAACUACGUG